rnacentral:lncRNA from 1 species
UGAAGGUAAUGUGUCUCUUUUCUCAAUUCUUUUUAUUUUGAUGUUCUGUUAACGAUUUCUUCUUCUUCUUACCAUCUUUGUUUCUGUUCCUGUUUCUCUGCUAUAAUCUAUCAAGUCUUUCAUACUAUUUACCACUUUUGAUAUUUGUAGGCACCGCACAUAUCUCUUUGUGUAUCCUAAAUCAUUAACCAAUGGAACUUCCAAGGCUUUUGCCAACUGACGGGCUGAUGCAACAAACAAAUUGCAAUUAUUUUGCAACUCUGGAAUGGAUAGAUUGGGUGCUGCAUUUUGUGUACAUGCCUGAUAUUUUUGAGCAACUGCUUCAAGCUGACUAACCUGAGGAAUUAACAAUCUUCUGGGGAUGAGCUCUUCAUGAUGCCGAGCACAAAAUUUCCAAGAACAUAUCUUCAGGUCUGUGUUGUUGCUGAUACAUGUAAUGUGUCAGCCGCCUAGCACACAUCCCAGGUUCAUAUGCUGGUUUCACAGGAGACCUUAUGGGCAUAUUCUGCUGUUGAAACUGUUGCGGUAGCUGGGACCGUUGCUGUUGAGGUAUUGACUUUAAGAGUUACUGCUGCUGAUGUUGCAAAAGUCUCUGCUGUUGCAAAAGAUUCAUCUGUGCAGCAGUAGCCUGAGAGGUUUGCCUUGACAUGUGGAUGAGUUGUUGUUGGGUUUUUAAAUGGUUAUAUUAUAUGCUGCCAACUUGCUUUUUGUUGUUGUGAGUUUUGAAAUUUAAACUUGUCAUUCUUUAUUGGUUUCAGGUGAUACCGUAACUGCAAGCACUUCAUUCUGGGUAACGGCGGCUGAAAAGUGGUUGAGCUUGUUACUGGUUCUUCCAGAAUUCUGGACUGUUGAAGAUUGGUUCAAGGAGUGAGCUUGGUGUGAAAUUCCAACCGGAACGGAAAGAUUGCGGCAUUGUUGGAGG